rnacentral:rRNA from 1 species
AUGGCGCAUUUCUGGUGGGGUGACGAGGACAAUCAGAAGAGGAUGCAUUGGAUGCCCUGGUGGAAGAUGUGUGUCCCUAAAAAUCAAGGAGGUAUGGGCUUCAGAGAUAUACAUUGUUUCAAUUUAGCAUUGUUAGCUAAACAAGCGUGGCAUCUUCUAGACAAUCCGGAUUCCUUAUGUGCUACUAUAUUGAGAGCUAAGUAUUUCCCUGAUGGUGAUUUGGUGAAUGCAACUUUAAAAAAAGGCUCCUCCUUCACUUGGCAAAGUAUUAUGGCAGGAGUAAACUCUCUAAAACAUGGUUAUAUAUGGCGAGUUGGAAAUGGACAAAAUAUUGACAUUUGGGAAGAUGCUUGGAUCCCA